rnacentral:sRNA from 1 species
GGGGGCACCCCUGGAUUACCUAGAGUCAGAUGUAUUAUCCAAAGGCCUGCUUCUGAAGCCCCUCUUGCCUCCUCUCUCUGCAGCCUUCUUGAAACACAUCCUAAGCGUCUGAGUGCUGCAGAUCCAGUGGGGUCCGGACACUGGGCCCCGCAGGCGGAAACACGUUCCAGCCACCAGGAGGCCACCUAUUGUUUCAAAAUAAAGACUGGGUUCCUCUCG